UAUUGUUAUGCUAGACUUGAACAUUGAAAUUUGUAUUUACUCAAGAAUACUCUAAAUUGGGUAGUUGGUGAACUCCGACACAAAAUCAACAUUGUAUUUUACCAGUCUAUCUAAGAUGCAAUUCCAUUGAUUGCAAAACGUCAUGACGUCACUGCAGUGUUUUGAUUACUGCGAUCGUUUUGAAGUGUUUGGUGUUGGUUUAAUUUUUGCGCUGUUUUUUCCCUUUUUUCCCCCAUUAGGGUCGUUGCCUUGCUCGUUGCAGCUUUGUCCAAAGUGAAGAUAGUGCCGAUUAGGGAGCUCCACGAAGUAGGUUCCGGAAAACCGAAAUGCUCCUGCGCGGGCUGUGUCUGAACCAGGGUUUCACCGCUUGAUUAAGGUGCAGACGAGCCAAAGCAGUUGUUUAUUCAGUCGGAAGUGCUGGGAAACUGUCGCAAAAAGGUAUAGUUGUUGACUGACCGAUUUUGGAAUCGCCCAUAUUUUUGCUAGUUCCGGCCAACGUGACGAGCGAUCCCAUGAAGGAGGUGGUGGCUUCAACGGCAAAAAAGCAAAUAAGAAAACGUCGAGCCGACUUUGCCCAUAGAAGAUGCAAACGUGCACCAGAGCUGGAACCGGUGGCUACUUUUACACUAGGGACGGAGUUUAAUCACAACGUCACGUGCUGCCAAGGAAGUGCGGACGGGGCAACGCUUCAGGUGAUUAGUGGUGACUAUGUGACGAGCUUGUGCAGGGUUUCGACGUUUCACGGCCGGCGGUGAUUGAAACAACAGCAACGGCAGCAUAACCAUAUCGAGAGCAUCGACCAGUGACAUCGUGUCGGCUGAUGACAACAUACAAAUAAUCUAUUCGACUCCACCGAGACAGAACCCAGGGAGACUUCUGCUCCUGGACUGAGUAACGACCUAAACAAUAGGUUAAACCGGGGCCAAAAUUUACUUCCCCGUCCGAUGGAAGGCGUGAUCAGACAAAUCUCGUCUCUUAAAAUGCCACCGGGACGUUCUGGAAUCGAACUCAGGCCGGGUGAGAGGAAUCCACGCUUACCCCUACACCACGAGUCCCGGAAUAAAAACUUUCUAAACGAGUCUAAAAUUUAGACGAU